rnacentral:lncRNA from 1 species
GAAGCCAUGUCAAGCAGAGUCCGGGUUUUUACAAAUAUGAAAACCUCAACAAAUUUACAGAAAGCCUUGGUCAAGCAAAAUAGGCACCAUAGCGCAGCUCCAGCUCAGAGACCAUCAAUCUAACCACUUUUGUCCUUUUUAGACUAAAGAGGCCUUAAUUCUGCCCAUUCAACAAGCCUUCCAUGGCUCGAAAUAAAUUAAAGGUCUGCCAAACUCAAACGUCGAUAUCG